rnacentral:tRNA from 8 species
UGGGGGAUCGUCUAACGGUAGGACCGCGGACUCUGACUCCGCUAGUCUAGGUUCGAAUCCUAGUCCCCCAGCCA